CUAAAACCUGCAGGGACACCGGCCCUCGUGGACUGAGAUUGCCCACCCCUGGGAUAGAAGGACAGCUCAAUGCGUGGAGCAGUGAGGGGUGCUGGAGCCGAUCUCAGGUGUCACGGGGCAAGAGACAGGGUGCACCCUGGACAGGCUGCCAGUCUGUCACAGGGCUAACUCAUAAAGACAGACAGCCAUUCACACUCAUACCUACAGGCAACUCAAAUCACCAGUUAGCCAAACCCCACGCAUGCCUUUGGAUUGUGGGAGGAAGCUGGAAUGAAUCCGCACAGAGAAAAGGCUCCAGGCUGGAUUCAAACCCAGGACCUUUUCACUGUGAGGUGACCCUGCUAACCACAGUAGCCAGAAGUUUCUCCCAAUGGUACAUGUUUGCGAUCGCUUCCACACACUAAUUUGCUUUAACCACAUUCGUGUGCUUUGGCCAGGCUUUAUCAGCACCACAAAGGGGCCAGGAAGAGACCAAAAACAGAUCUUCUUGGUUGUGUCAAAAUUCUAGGAGCCACCAAGACACAGAUUUAAGUGUCAUGUGUGGGCAGCUCAAAAAUAAUGUGGUUAGAAGUGCAAGCUUAAAAUCUUAAAGCUUUUAUCUUUUCAAUAAAUGAAGCCCUGCACAGAUCAGUCUGUAACCUCUAGUAAAAUUUGUAAGUUUAAUCUCUGCUAAGAUGUUUGCACAACCAACUGGCAGCAGCAUCACGACUGAAAGGUGAUGAUAGCAGCUGAAGCUAUGCAGCUUAAUUUGGUGUAAUAUUCACCCACAAACUGCUUCAGGAAAAUCAGCAGAUUCAUUACGGCGACAGCACGGAAACUAAUAAACUCUUUUAAUCAUCUUAGAUGUUAAAAAUCGUUGCAUCAUGAAAUCUCCUUUCCCACUCUACUUUCUGCCACAAAUGAGUGUUGCCACAGAGACAUCGCCGACGAAUGGAUUGUUAAAUCAAACGGGAACGACUCGGAGCAUCUGGUCACCACGACAGUGAGGAACACGAGCGCGUUCUGACACCAAGUCUGACACCACGGUUCCCACUCAGAAAAGUGUGGUGUGUCCACUCUGGAAUAACAAUGAGCUGCUGCCUCAAGUAUCCCGGGUUCUGUUCAGGAGUGAAAGAGGGAAGGAGGGAGCGGGAGGUGGACUUCCAGAUGGAUUGGUGCUGCUUCAGAUGGUGCAGAUGCUGUCCCGUUCUGUCAUGAUGAAAAGAAACUGAGUGUGAAAGCAAACCUGUUGAUUUUCAGGUCUGUUUAUAUUCCCACCUUCACCUGUGGUCAUCAGCUCUGGCCAAAAGAACGAGACUGCAGAUACAAGCAGCAGAAAUGUGUUUCCUCUAAAGGUCGUCUGGGCUCAGCGUUAGAGAGGAGUGAGGAGCUCUGCCAUCUGAGAGGGGUGCAGAGCAGAGCUGUUAUUCCUCCGUAUCAAAGGAAGCUAGUUGAGGUUUUUGGGGCAUCUCACUAGGAUCUGCCCUGGAUGCCUCUUAGUUGAUGUUAUUGUAUCCGAUCUUUACCAAGACCGGAGUGUGUGCAUGAUUACUGCUUUUGUAGCUGUGUGUUUAUAUGUCUGCUUCCUAAAUUCCCCUGACAAAUUCCUCAAGCAAAAGGUGGGCACUCACUUUUUAUAUCAAUAUUGUAUGAAUACAAUAUUGAAUCCUUAUAAUUAUUUAAUAAAUCUCAAACUGCACAGUGACCGCUUUCUCUCUGAGGCUAUCCCUGAUUAAUUCUUGAACCAAUGUAUGGCACAAAUUAUAACAUUAAUGAUUAACUUAAUCAGUGUUUAUAUUAAAAAAUGAAGUGAUGUGAGCUGAUCAACAGCUUCAAGCAGGUCUGCUGUCAUGAACUGGAUUUACAUAUUUUCAGAACACCUCAACAUUCAAUUACAAAUUGGUUGUUAUUGAUUUAGCAUCAGGUUGUUUCUGAUUUGAUCCUCAGUGAAGCAGCUGAUCAAGUCAUUACCCUUAUUUUGCCUAAAAUAGACCGGUAAGCACACAGGCCUACACGUGUUGUUUCCCUGCCUGCUGGUGGGAGUGUUGUUAUUGUUUCUGAAUAUUAAAAAUAAGAAACAUUUGAGGAAAAUUUGAUUGCCUAAGGCAGGAGUUUGAUGUUCCAGACUACAUUAAAAGCAGAUUUUUUUUCAUCAAAAGACACUCCAAGGAAAAUAAAAGUCAGAGUUAUGACAGUAAAUUAAUUAGCUCAGAACAAGAAAAUCAGACUUUUGCCUCUAGCGUUCAUUUUAAUGCAAACAGUUUGAUAACAGAGCUUUCUUUAGUUUAGUUGUUCUGCACCAGUAACGCCAGCGCUGAACAUUAUUUGUAUUUGUUUUUUUAAAAAGAGCAUUGUGGAAACUUUUUUUUCUUGGUUCAAAAUCUAUCACAAGGUUUUCAGGAGCAAACCACAUCGAUACAGCGGCUAAUGGAUGGACAACGGAUUUCAUUAUCCAGACGGCUUUAGCUUCAGGGGGGGGUCAGAGGUCAAAACAAGAGCGGACCUCCUUUCGAGUUUUAGCCUGUUUUCAGCUCUCGGAGGUCUCGACCAAACACAACCACCGUGGUACUAAAAUCUACUUUCCUGUGGGCUUUAGUCGAUACUGACUGGUUAAAAUUCCAGCUGAUACUUUAGUAUGAACUGUUCCAGAGGAAAAACACUCCAGCUUGGCUUCACAUGGUACACGAGGUGUUUAAAGAGUACACAACAUGAGUAACCCAUAAUCAGGACUGCACUGACGGUCUAUUAUUAAUUUUUAAAAAUCUUUUAUGAAUCAGGUUAUUAUGAAGAGAGUGGUGGGAAUAACAUGCAGGAAAUGGACUGAGAUGGACUCCAACCCAGGCCCCGCAGUAGCCUUGGUGUAGAGGCACAACUAUAGGUGAGCUCUCGUGGUCCCCCAAAAUAUUGUUUUAAUGGAUCGAUGGGAGAGCAGCGGAAAAAGUGCUAAGUGAUUUUUAUAUAUUUUUUUUACUUUUCUCUCCAAGGACAGAUCUCAAAGAGUCAAUGUUGUUCAUCAGAUGAACAUAAUUGUUGAAUAAAUGAUGAUGUUGGUCGUUGUUUUCAUAAUUUCUGGGCAGGUAACCGAUAUCUAACAAGAACAAAGACUAC